ACAUAGAGAUGUGGGCAUUUAUGGAGCAAGUCCCUAAAGUGUUCCUAAGUCUCAAAAAAGAGUUCCCCAUCCAUCUGAUAGAAACUUGUGAUGGAUCUCCGAAGCU